GGGUGGCCCACGUUCACACUUGGGUCUAACGUGAUGGAGUGGGUGACUUCCAUUGGGCAUCAUCAAACACACCUGAACCAAGCCCUUAAGAACCUGGAAUACCUGGCAGAGGCAUGUUGGGAGCAGGGUUGGAACAAAUACGUGGACUGGCUGGAGGGUCCAGAGGAUCGGACCAGGAAACGCUGCCUUAUUGCUCAGGUUUCACAUGGAAGCAUGGGUUUGUUUACAUGACCACACACGAAGCAAAAAAGCCAGAGGUGUGACUGGUCCUGCUGCAUGUCCCCACUGUGGCCAGUCUUGUGCUACAGUGGGAGAGGAGCCAGAACUCUGCUGUGUCUGCUGUGUCUCAGGGCUCUUUAGUGAGGCCCUUAGUGAGCCACUCAGACAGACUGUGAGGACGCGUGGAGUGAUUACAAUCACUCUGAUGCAUGGAGGAAUUACGACCAUUCCGACGUGUGGAGGGAUUACGAUCAUUCCGACGCGGCCCUGAUGAUUAGACACAGGGGAAUUUCCCUGUUUCAGUUCUAUUGCUGUAACUGCUAGGAUUGAGCGAUUUUAGCAAUAUGAAUGACACAUAGUUGUCAUCUUGGUUCACGCCCACCAACACAAGUUGAAAUCUGACUGAACAUGCAAACCUUUGUCUUCACAAUGGAGGUCGUCAACUGCAUAACCCAAACAAAAUCCUGUGCCUGACCAGUGAAUGUAACCUAUUGGCCCUUUUGUUGUAACAUCUGACCCCCAUGUACAGGGAUGGUGGAGAAUUUGCAGAUCCUGGACUUUGAGGGCCAAGAUUUCAAUACCCCUGUCCUUUGACAAAUGAACCACUAGUGAUUACAAAAUCCAGGAUUGGAUUUUGGGUUCAAGGUCAAGAGUAAGGGUAGCAAAAUCCCAAACGGCCCAUAACAAAGCAUGUCAUGUCUCUCCACAGUUGAGCCAAACUCAGUGACCUCUGCUCACCAGUGCCUGCGUGUGUCUCACACAAAGCACACUUUUGCGUGGGCAGGAGUAACUGGUCUUCCCAUGAGCAGCAGAACUUGCGUGUCCGAAACCAAAGUACACCAUGUCAUAGUGGUGUGACGGGCUUGUGUCAUGCAUAACAGGAAGUGAC